rnacentral:rRNA from 1 species
GAUGAACGCUGGCGGCGUGCCUAAUACAUGCAAGUCGAGCGAAUGGAUUAAGAGCUUGCUCUUAUGAAGUUAGCGGCGGACGGGUGAGUAACACGUGGGUAACCUGCCCAUAAGACUGGGAUAACUUCGGGAAACCGGGGCUAAUAUCGGAUACCAUUUUGAACCGCAUGGUUCGAAAUUGAAAGGCGGCUUCGGCUGUCACUUAUGGAUGUUGCCGCGUCGCAUUAGCUAGUUGGUGAGGUUACGGCUCAUCAAGGCAACGAUUCGUAGCCGACCUGAGAGGGUGAUCGGCCACACUGGGACUGAGACACUGCCCAGACUCCUACGGGAGGCAGCAGUAGGGAAUCUUCCGCAAUGGACGAAAGUCUGACGGAGCAACGCCGCGUGAGUGAUGAAGGCUUUCGGGUCGUAAAACUCUGUUGUUAGGGAAGAACAAGUGCUAGUUGAAUAAGCUGGCACCUUGACGGUACCUAACCAGAAAGCCACGGCUAACUACGUGCCAGCCGCCGCGGUAA